AGAUUUUGAUGAUUUUGAUCCUCGAGUGACUUCAAGUACUAAGCCUUCUACAGGAAACUCUGGCCAAGUAGAUCUAUUUGGGCAAAAUUUGAUGGGUGACCUCUUGGAUGCACCAACACCUGUUCCAGCUGAUAAUUCUUCUGUCACCAGUCAUCCAUCGGAGGUUGAUUUAUUUGCUGACGCCAAUUUUGUGUCUGUGAAACCAGAGUCUAAGAUAA
rnacentral:misc_RNA from 1 species